GUUAAAAGGCGGUGAGAUGUUCAAGAGAGGCGUGGAGAUGCCGGAGGAACAAAGGCCAUCUAGAAGAUUUUUGGAUACUUCGACAACUUUUUUCCUGCUCAAAUCUAUGGAGUGCCGUAGCUCGUGGAUAGCUUCUCCUUUCAUUUAUGAGGAGAGGGAGAACUUAUUUUUGAAGGAAAUAAGUGACAUUUAGUGAAAUAUGUGUUUUUGGUGCCAAGGCAAUGAUGGGUUUCUUUGUCUUUUAAUUCCAACGUGGUGUAGCUUAUCCACUCUUAGUGAAACCUUCUAUCUCAAUGUCACUUGAGAGAAAAGAAGAUGCAAAAGUCUGAACUAGAAUCCUACCCAUUUGGUGACCAGAAAUUAAAUUAGAAUUUGGAAUGAGAUUGUAAUAUUGUCCUAUUUACUUUAAACUUUAGGUACUUGUAAUUGAUUUGCAAGUCUGUUCAUGUUUGGACUCAUGUCCGUUUUUUAAUACUGAAAAUCCCUUUGAGGUGCUCAA